rnacentral:misc_RNA from 1 species
AAGUCGUAACAAGGUAUCCGUAGGUGAACCUGCGGAUGGAUCAUUGACAAAAAGGGAUUUCUAUUCCCAUUCACACCCUUGUGCACUGUCAUUGAACGUAAACACCAUUUGGGUGAAUAUUCUCUCUCCUCUUUUUGGGCUGCCGUUUCUUUAUGUUUGUGCGGUCGCAGAAACAAUAAAUAAGCGACAGCGGACAAGAAAGGGAAAGGGAACCUUUCGGUCGGGAGCGUGUGUGUUCCUUCCUCGCGCUGUUUGUGCGGGGAAAGGGUGCAUUACCUGCCUCGGAAGUGUUCACCCAAUGGUGGAAAUUCCGUAAGCAACCCCAAAAAAGAGUGGCUGAAACCUCGGAAAUCCGAGAUACAGAUAUAAUUCAAAAAGAUAUAACUUCUAACAAUGGAUCUCUCGGCUCUC